UGUAGAAUGUAUAACAGUGAAGUAAGACACCGAAGCUUUUACGAGCUGAAAUAAAUAUCAUUCUUUAUUGUUCUCGGAAUACUUCAUCGCUUGACGUUGAAGAACUAUAGCGCAAAUUAUUUUUUUGGAGACAAGAUUUACGUCUUUCAUACUAUUGUUUAAUGUAUCCAUGUCUAAUGAAUGUUCCAUGCGGUAGCUGCAAGUUAUAUAUAUAUUGAACGAUAAGAUAUCUAUUUCUAGUAGAAAAUAUAAUCUAUAUCUUCUUUAUCUAACAGAGAAUUUUCGUUUAAAAUAAUAAAUCUGAAUUAUACUUCGAAUUUUAA